CCUACGGGAGGCAGCAGUGAGGAAUAUUGGUCAAUGGACGAGAGUCUGAACCAGCCACGUAGCGUGACGGAUGACUGCCCUAUGGGUUGUAAACUUCUUUUAUAUGGGAAUAAAAUGUUCCACGUGUGGGAUUUUGUACGUACCAUAUGAAUAAGGCUCGGCUAACUCCGUGCCAGCUGCCGCGGUAAUACGGAGGAUCCGAACGUUAGCCGGAUUUAUUGGGGUUAAAGGGAUCGUAGGUGGAUUGUUAAGUCAGUUGUGAAAGUUUGCGGCUAAACAGUAAAAUUGCAGUUGAAACUGGCAGUCUUGAGUACAGUAGAGGUGAGCGGAAUUCGUGGUGUAGCGGUGAAAGGCUUAGAUAUCACGAAGAACUCCGAUUGCGAAGGCAGCUCACUGGACUGCAACUGACACUGAGGCUCGAAAGUGUAGGUAGCAAACAGGAUUAGAUACCCGAGUAGUC
rnacentral:rRNA from 1 species